rnacentral:rRNA from 1 species
UACGUAGGGGGCGAGCGUUGUCCGGAAUCAUUGGGCGUAAAGCGCGCGUAGGCGGCCCGUUAAGUCCGCUGUGAAAGUCCAGGGCUCAACCCUGGGAUGCCGGUGGAUACUGUCGGGCUCGAGUCCGGAAGAGGCGAGUGGAAUUCCUGGUGUAGCGGUGAAAUGCGCAGAUAUCAGGAGGAACACCAAUGGCGAAGGCAGCUCGCUGGGACGUGACUGACGCUGAGACGCGAAAGCGUGGGGAGCAAACAGG